rnacentral:sRNA from 1 species
CAUUUGCCAGCAAGAGUUCCAUACUUCCUUUAGUCUGAGUUCACAAUAAUCUGACACCAAAUAGUCCACCCAUUUUUCCCUUAGUUGGGAAAUAAGAGAGCUCAGGGAAUAAGACACUUGGGAAGAAAUCCUCAGGGGACUUCUUGUUAACCUCCGGAGAGCAAACAUGACCUGAUAAAACCAGCUGCAGUGUGACAGCCAUGGAGCCAUGCACCCGUACAGCCAUGCCUGGCUCCUCUUGCCCCGUAGUUUCUUAUAUCUGUGACCCUGUCUUCUGUUUUCCUUUUCAGGUGUCUCCAGUGAAAAUCUGUGACUUUGACUUGGGCAGUGGGAUGAAACUGAACAACUCCUGUACCCCCAUAACCACACCAGAGCUGACCACCCCAUGUGGCUCUGCAGAAUACAUGGCCCCUGAGGUAGUGGAGGUCUUCACGGACCAGGCCACAUUCUACGACAAGCGCUGUGACCUGUGGAGCCUGGGCGUGGUCCUCUACAUCAUGCUGAGUGGCUACCCGCCCUUCGUGGGUCACU